UAACAAAUGGGUCACCUGAUGGUAAACAACUACCGUCGCCCAUGGACACUCGCAACAUCAGAAGAGCUGCAGGUGCGUUUCCGGCCUUUUAAGAGGGAAUACGCUCUUUUCUUGAAGGUGUGCAGGUCGUAUAGGGCCGGAAAAUUGCAUACCAGAAUUUAUA